AAUAACAGUGCAGCUUAAUGUUACAAAAUACUAAUAAAAAGAGCAAAUUAAAGAUAAUUCAAAAUAACAAUAAAGUGCUUGAGUAGGUUACAAUAGACUAAUUAGAUGAGUAAGAUAUAAGUUUAACAAUAGUAAUAGAUGGCAUUAAUUAAUAUAAUUCAAUUUUUUCAUUUAUAAGCAUCUACAAGAUGCACCGAGAAAAAUAGCCCCAAGUGGCCAAUUGGAAUAAUAGAGAAAAGUCGAGACAAAGUCUGGUCAUUUUCUCUAAUACGGGCUUAAGCUAAAAUUAGCUUAAAUUACAAAAAGUAAAUGAUAAUUAAUAUAGAUAAUUAAAUAAAAAUAGUUUAACAAUUCAUUUUAGCAGUUUUGAUUUCAUUAACAUUCAUUCGAUAUAUCGCAAGUGCAAUUGAGUAAGUGACGAUGCACCCCUGGCGUUGUGCCUAUCGGGGUGCAUAAUCAAAACAAAACAAAAACAGCUGAUUGAAAAUUGCAUUAAAUGCAAAUUUUAUGCUGCUAAUUGACAGGCGCAACACUGAAUAUAGCAGGAUUGCAUUAAUUGCAAGCUGAAUAGCAGCUGCUACCAUACAAAGUGCAGGGGGGCGCAAAGCUGGAAAUAGCCGAACUUCAUUAAUUGCAAGUUGACUAGCAGAAUACAUGAAGUACAGCAAGGAGACUUAGUCAUAUGGGCUGCAUAGCCAAUAGGGCGCAUAAUUAAGUUAGAUUUAAGUAGAUUUAAAUUUGAAUUUUAGGCGCAAGCGCCGUCAGAUAUGUUCGCUGCACAUAUACAUAUAUGUGCCGAAAAUAAACUUUUGUAUUGUA